AUCGUUUCGAGUUGGAACAAGUGGGUUUUAUGAGCCUUCGGCUUUUGCUUCCCUUUAGGCAGCAGGUGAUGUGGGCGAGAUGCCAAAAGCUAGCUAAUAAGUCAAAAUAGAAGAAAGGAGAUAAAUGCAUCAAACUGAUUUUUGUCUAUAAAAGCAUCUUUUGAGAGAGAGAGAGAGAGCUGCAGUUGGGUUUUUCAGCAGUUACCGAGGAAGAAAGAGGCAAAAGUCUGGUUCAAUUUCAGGUUUUGAUGGAGAAAGUUGUGAAUUCAUAACGAAGGUAUUGACGCGCCUCAAUUUGAACGUGUGGCUGAUAUUGGAGACUUAACCAUGCGAUUCUGAUUGAGCCGCGUCAAUAUCUCCUCUUGCAUCUCUCUCCAUCUAUCCGUUCAACUCAACAUCAUCUAUUCAUGCAUGUUCGAACCUAUUUUGCAGGACCAGCAUGUAUAAAGUGUACCAAACUUUGGCUGUUACCAUUGACUCGAACACAUAAGAUAGAACAGUUCACACUUGUAUAUACCUUGAGUUCUAAACCAAUUUCGUUUUCACUAGAGGAAUAUAACUGAUCUAAAAUUUCAAAUGAAAUUACAGAAAAAUCUAAAAACGUUAAAAGUGAAAGAGACUUGGGGAGAGAGAAAACAGACAUAUGCAUGCAGGACUGUCAAUGAAAGAAUCGUUUUAAUUCGAUAUGGUCCAAGGGCUUCAGGAAUCUCAGAUCCAGAACCUAGCUGGUGAAGUGGGAACCAUAACUGCAAUGUGAGUAGGUCCUACGAUCCUUUUCUUUCACUUGGCUUUGCAUUAAAAAUUUCCACCAUCCCUGUCGAUUACCAAGUACUAAUUAACUUCUAGCUCUACCUAGAAGGUUUCUCCAACGGCUGGUCUAAGGAAUCAACGUGUGUAGUGUUGUAGACUCAUGGAGAUAUAUCAUCGAUGGAAAAAGCAAAUCUCUCACAAAACGUCCAAUCGAAUAGUUAUACGUGUGGUUUAUGGAAAGAAACUUUCAUUUAGCCGAUCAUAUAUGUUUCCUUGUUUAUAUAACAUAUAUCAAAAAAAAAGAAAAAGAAAAAAGAGUGUGUUGUGAUUUACUUGUUUGUAUAUGUAAUUGUAUGUGUAUGAUCUUUAUCUUUAAGUAAUGAAUGAAAGAAAGAGUGUACAUAUGAGUUUUCUCAAUUUGUUACCAGACAAAUUGGUUGGAAAACCUAACCUUUUUAUUUACUUGUUUAUAAUAUUUUGAGAAA